AGAGUUUGAUCAUGGCUCAGAAUCAACGCUGGCGGCGUGCCUCAGACAUGCAAGUCGAACGCGAAAGGUUCCUUCGGGAACCGAGUAGAGUGGCGCACGGGUGAGUAACACGUAGGUAAUUUGCCUUUGGGUGGGGAAUAACUCAGGGAAACUUGAGCUAAUACCGCAUAAUGCAGCGGCUCGACAUCGAGACAGUUGUUAAAGCGGGGGCUUCGUAAGAACCUCGCGCCUGAAGAGAAGCCUGCGGCAGAUUAGCUAGUUGGCAGGGUAAUGGCCUACCAAGGCGACGAUCUGUAACCGGCCUGAGAGGGCGGUCGGUCACACUGACACUGACAUACGGGUCAGACUCCUACGGGAGGCAGCAGUCGGGAAUUUUGGGCAAUGGGCGAAAGCCUGACCCAGCAACGCCGCGUGAAGGAUGAAAUUUUUCGGAAUGUAAACUUCGCAAGAACGGGAAGAAUAAGUAGAAGAUAAUACCUUCUAUGAUGACGGUACCGUUUGUAAGCUCCGGCUAACUCCGUGCCAGCAGCCGCGGUAAUACGGGGGGAGCAAGCGUUGUUCGGAUUUACUGGGCGUAAAGGGCGCGUAGGCGGCGUGACAAGUCACUUGUGAAAUCUCCGGGCUUAACUCGGAACGGUCAAGUGAUACUGUCGUGCUAGAGUACAGAAGGGGCAACUGGAAUUCUCGGUGUAGCGGUGAAAUGCGUAGAUAUCGAGAGGAACACCUGCGGCGAAGGCGGGUUGCUGGGCUGAUACUGACGCUGAGGCGCGAAAGCCAGGGGAGCGAACGGGAUUAGAUACCCCUGUAGUCC
rnacentral:rRNA from 1 species